rnacentral:rRNA from 1 species
GGAAUUGUUCGCAAUGGGCGCAAGCCUGACGACGCAACGCCGCGUGGAGGAUGAAGGUCUUCGGAUUGUAAACUCCUGUUGCCCGGGACGAAAUGUUCAGACCUAACACGUCUGCGUUUGCCGUUACCGGGUGAGGACGCCCCGGCUAACCCUGUUCCAGCAGCCGCGGUAAUACAGAGGGGGCAAGCGUUGUUCGGAAUUACUGGGCGGAAAGGGCGCGUAGGCGGCCUUCUAAGUCGAACGUGAAAUCCCUGGGCUCAACCCAGGAACUGCGUCCGAGACUGGGAGGCUAGAAUCCGGGAGAGGGAUGUGGAAUUCCAGGUGUAGCGGUGAAAUGCGUAGAUAUCUGGAGGAACAUCGGUGGCGAAGGCGGCAUCCUGGACCGGUAUUGACGCUGAGGCGCGAAAGCCAGGGGAGCAAA